rnacentral:tRNA from 1 species
GGGGUUGUUGCUCAGUGGUAGAGCACUUGCCUGGCAUGUGUGAGGCCCUGGGUUUGAUCCUCAGCACCAUUU